rnacentral:rRNA from 1 species
UGAGCAAUCUGCCCUUCUCUUUGGAAUAAGCGUUGGAAACGACGUCUAAUGCCGAAUACGACCUCCUUUCGCAUGAUCGGAGGUGGAAAGCUCCGGCGGAGAAGGAUGAGCUCGCGGCCUAUCAGCUAGUUGGUGUGGGUAAUGGCCCACCAAGGCGACGACGGGUAGCCGGCCUGAGAGGGCGACCGGCCACACUGGAACUGAGAUACGCCCCAGACUCCGUACGGGAGGNAGCG